GAAGCGAGAGAACGUUGCCGCUGGCAAUGGCCCGAAGGCGAGGCGCUUUAGCGCCGAGUAAUCCUUCCCCCACCACUG
rnacentral:sRNA from 1 species